UGGCAGCACUAUGCCGGAGGUCACAUUUUUGUGAAUUUCCAAUCAACAACAAACUUUUUAAGUGAAUUUAUAGAAAUAAAUAUGAAAAGGCCAAUUCCAACCAGUACGCUGCUUAGGUUUCCACUAUUAUUUGGUGGAUUUUUAGCAGUGGUAGGCUUAGGACUGUCAUACAAGGAAUCCUGGUUGGGGGAUGUGGAAGGAUCCAGGAACAAAAUUUUAGGACAGGGGAACUUGGAGGCUAAUCCAAUUCACGAUUUUAAGAAAGAAGUUGCAGCAAAAAUUAAAUCGUGAAAGAAAUACGUGAUUUUUAAAGACUGGUCGAAACGUUAUUUUUGUAGUCUUGUAUAUACCUACUAAUAGUAAAACGAUAUUCAGUUUUUUGUUAUAAUUUGUUUUAUUAAAAAGGAUGCUACGUU